rnacentral:rRNA from 1 species
UACGUAGGCAGCGAGCGUUGUUCGGAGUUACUGGGCGUAAAGGGCUCGUAGGCGGCCAACUAAGUCAGACGUGAAAUCCCUCAGCUUAACUGGGGAACUGCGUCUGAUACUGGAUGGCUUGGAUUCGGGAGAGGAAUGCGGAAUUCCAGGUGUAGCGGUGAAAUGCGUAGAUAUCUGGAGGAACACCGGUGGCGAAGGCGGCAUUCUGGACCGACAUUGACGCUGAGGAGCGAAAGCCAGGGGAGCAAACGGG